AGAUGAAAAUUCGAGAAGGGUCCGGCUGCAAGUCGAAGACUCGGCCUUCAACACCUCCUGCCUUCCAAAGUCCACCCCACAACCGCCCACAGUCUGUAGAAAGAGAAGGAGAAGAGCUGCUGUACGGUUUUUCUAAUUCGAAAAAGAAAAGGAGGUGAAAACGUUUUCCGACACGGAACAAUGGCACAACAGAACCAGGUUUCCAAAUGACCAUUUUGUGGUUUCUCUGUAUUUCAUCCUCGAAGCCCCCUUCAAUUUUAACGAGUCCUCUUUAGAAUGACAUGCUGGCUUUGAGGAAGUGCUGGUGUAGAAUGUUGCUUGAGAACUCCAGCUCCAAGGGCACUGCGUUCAUGCAGGUUUCAGAUCUUUUAUUUUAGGAGAAAAGUCAGCCUCCCUUCUCCAACAUCCAUCACAGGUCACCAAUGAUCAGGUACAGACACAUCAUUUUAUAAACUUCCAUAAGAAAGAUGAAUUACAUUUUGUUGAUGCUGGCUUACAAUGCCUAUGGUAUAGUGAAUAAAAUGUAUAA